UACGUAGGGUCCGAGCGUUGUCCGGAAUUAUUGGGCGUAAAGGGCUCGUAGGCGGUUUGUCGCGUCGGGAGUGAAAACUCAGGGCUCAACCCUGAGCGUGCUUCCGAUACGGGUGGACUAGAGGUAGGUAGGGGAGAUCGGAAUUCCUGGUGUAGCGGUGAAAUGCGCAGAUAUCAGGAGGAACACCGGUGGCGAAGGCGGGUCUCUGGGCCGAUACUGACGCUGAGGAGCGAAAGCGUGGGGAGCGAACAGG
rnacentral:rRNA from 1 species